GACGAACGCUGGCGGCGUGCCUAAUACAUGCAAGUCGAACGCUGAAGAGAGGAGCUUGCUCUUCUUGGAUGAGUUGCGAACGGGUGAGUAACGCGUAGGUAACCUGCCUUGUAGCGGGGGAUAACUAUUGGAAACGAUAGCUAAUACCGCAUAACAAUGGAUGACACAUGUCAUUUAUUUGAAAGGGGCAAUUGCUCCACUACAAGAUGGACCUGCGUUGUAUUAGCUAGUAGGUGAGGUAAUGGCUCACCUAGGCGACGAUACAUAGCCGACCUGAGAGGGUGAGCGGCCACAAUGGGACUGAGACACGGCCCAGACUCCUACGGGAGGCAGCAGUAGGGAAUCUUCGGCAAUGGGGGCAACCCUGACCGAGCAACGCCGCGUGAGUGAAGAAGGUUUUCGGAUCGUAAAGCUCUGUUGUAAGUCAAGAACGGGUGUGAGAGUGGAAAGUUCACACUGUGACGGUAGCUGACCAGAAAGGGACGGCUAACUACGUG
rnacentral:rRNA from 1 species